UAACACGUGAGUAACCUGCCCCUUACUCUGGGAUAACUUCGGGAAACUGGAGCUAAUACCGGAUACGAGACGCACAGGCAUCUGUAGCGUUUGGAAAGAAUUUCGGUAAGGGAUGGACUCGCGGCCUAUCAGCUUGUUGGUGAGGUAAUGGCUCACCAAGGCGACGACGGGUAGCCGGCCUGAGAGGGCGACCGGCCACACUGGAACUGAGACACGGUCCAGACUCCUACGGGAGGCAGCAGUGGGGAAUAUUGCACAAUGGGCGCAAGCCUGAUGCAGCAACGCCGCGUG
rnacentral:rRNA from 1 species